GUGGGGAAUAUUGGACAAUGGGCGAAAGCCUGAUCCAGCCAUGCCGCGUGUGUGAAGAAGGUCUUCGGAUUGUAAAGCACUUUAAGUUGGGAGGAAGGGCAGUAAGUUAAUACCUUGCUGUUUUGACGUUACCAACAGAAUAAGCACCGGCUAACUUCGUGCCAGCAGCCGCGGUAAUACGAAGGGUGCAAGCGUUAAUCGGAAUUACUGGGCGUAAAGCGCGCGUAGGUGGUUCAGCAAGUUGAAGGUGAAAUCCCCGGGCUCAACCUGGGAACUGCCCACAACACUACUGGGCUAGAGUACGGUAGAGGGUAGUGGAAUUUCCUGUGUAGCGGUGAAAUGCGUAGAUAUAGGAAGGAACACCAGUGGCGAAGGCGACUACCUGGACUGAUACUGACACUGAGGUGCGAAAGCGUGGGGAGCAAACAGGAUUAGAUACCCUUGUAGUCC
rnacentral:rRNA from 1 species